rnacentral:lncRNA from 1 species
AUACACUGGAUACUUUCUCAUGCAUGUAAGUUCCAAAACUUCAAUUUUAUUGAGGAGUAAGAUACGUGCUUGGGAUUUCGAUACUGACAGCACAAUUGAUAUUUCUUCAAUAUCGGUCUCCUCUUGUUGAAGUAUAUUAACCUCAUUAAAUAUUGUAAAUUUGGUAAGAUCUUUUGAUUUAUCUUCUUUGAUAUCACCAGUGUCUGCUAGAUCAUAGAUGUGGUUGUUGUGCUGGUAGUAUCAAAGAAGAUAAAUCAGAGGAUCUAACCAAAUUUACAAUAUUUAAAGAGGUUGAUAUACUCCAGCAAAUGGAGACCGACAUUGAAGCAAUACUAUUGUGCUGUCAGUAUUGAAAUCUCAGGAAAGUAUCUUGCUCCUCAACAUGGCUGGAGCACUAAUAAAGUGUACGAUAA